rnacentral:tRNA from 2 species
GCGGGCGUAGCUCAAUCUGGCUAGAGCGUCACGUUGCCAACGUGAAGGUUGGGGGUUCAAUUCCCCUCGCCCGCU